rnacentral:rRNA from 1 species
GUGAGGAAUAUUGGUCAAUGGGCGGGAGCCUGAACCAGCCAAGUCGCGUGAAGGAAGAAGGAUCUAUGGUUCGUAAACUUCUUUUGCAGGGGAAUAAAGUGCAGGACGUGUCCUGUUUUGUAUGUACCCUGAGAAUAAGGAUCGGCUAACUCCGUGCCAGCAGCCGCGGUAAUACGGAGGAUCCGAGCGUUAUCCGGAUUUAUUGGGUUUAAAGGGUGCGUAGGUGGUUUGAUAAGUCAGCGGUGAAAGUUUGCAGCUUAACUGUAAAAAUGCCGUUGAAACUGUCGGAGUUGAGUGUAAAUGAGGUAGGCGGAAUGCGUGGUGUAGCGGUGAAAUGCAUAGAUAUCACGCAGAACUCCGAUUGCGAAGGCAGCUUACUAAGCUACAACUGACACUGAAGCACGAAAGCGUGGGGAUCAAACAGGAUUAGAACCCCAGUAGUCC